UACGAAGGGUGCAAGCGUUGUCCGGAAUUAUUGGGCGUAAAGAGCUCGUAGGCGGUCUGUCGCGUCGGCUGUGAAAACUCGGGGCUCAACUCCGAGCUUGCAGUCGAUACGGGCAGGCUAGAGUUCGGCAGGGGAGACUGGAAUUCCUGGUGUAGCGGUGAAAUGCGCAGAUAUCAGGAGGAACACCGGUGGCGAAGGCGGGUCUCUGGGCCGAUACUGACGCUGAGGAGCGAAAGCGUGGGGAGCGAACAGG
rnacentral:rRNA from 1 species